ACUCAUACGUCAUGACAUGUUUUUACGUAUAAAUAUUUUUUCUUUAUUUUGUCAGUGAACUUAUAUUUUGAUUUAACAAUUCAAAGUAUAUUAGUAUAGCAAGGAAGAAGUUAAUCGUGAGAAGAAUUUUUUUUUUUGUUUUAAUUCACAUCGCUUUAUGUUAAGCCACAAGGGACGAAACACAUAAGAACCUGUAGUUGGUUGUGCAUUGACUAUGUACAUAUAUAUGUACAAAACACUUCAUUACGCUUAGAUAGCAAGUUCAAGUCCAGCUAAAUAUGGUCGGCAAAUGGCAGUCUCUAUGUAUUAUUCUACUCUUUGAUGGCAGUUAUGCAAAACUAAGAGGAAAUAUUACAGUUUAAAAUGAUAUAAGAACUCCAUGCUAAAUAUGGAAGGGAAAUGGCAGUUAAGCAAAACUGAGAAGAAAUAUUACAGUUUAAAAUGAUAUAAGAACUCCAUGCUAAAUAUGGAAGGGAAAUGGCAGUUAAGCAAAACUGAGA